UACGUAGGGUGCAAGCGUUGUCCGGAAUUAUUGGGCGUAAAGAGCUCGUAGGCGGCCUGUUGCGUCCGCUGUGAAAUCCCGGGGCUUAACCCCGGGCCUGCAGUGGAUACGGGCAGGCUGGAGGCAGGCAGGGGAGAACGGAAUUCCCGGUGUAGCGGUGAAAUGCGCAGAUAUCGGGAGGAACACCGGUGGCGAAGGCGGAUCUCUGGGCCGAUACUGACGCUGAGGAGCGAAAGCGUGGGGAGCGAACAGG
rnacentral:rRNA from 1 species